GGGGCCGCCGCCGCCGCCGGGGCGCAGGCUGAUGACGGGCUGAUCCUUCUCCAUGCUUUCAGGGAACGAACAAAUCCGACCAGCGGAGCCCCCGCGAAGCCCGAUCGAGAGGGGGGAGGGGGGAGAAAUCGCGAGGAAAUCGAAACCCCUUUUCUCUUCUCCUCCUGGGCGAAGGUUGCGUUUGCGAGGCGGAAGAGGAGGAGGAGGAGAGGGGAGGAAGGGGAGGCGUGGGCGAC
rnacentral:lncRNA from 1 species